CCUAGUUGAUCCUGCCAGUAGUCAUAUGCUUGUCUCAAUAUUAAGCCAUGCAUGUGUAAGUAUGAACAAAUUCAGACUGUGAAACUGCGAUUGGCUCAUUAAAUCAGUUAUAGUUUGUUUAAUGGUCUACUCAAAUAACCGUAGUAAUUCUAGAGCUAAUACGUGUAAUAAACCCCGACUUCUGGAAGAGAUUCAUUUAUUAGAUAAAAGGUCGACGCGGGCUCUGCCCAUUGCUGCGAUGAUUCAUGAUAACUCGACGGAUCGCACGGCCAUCAUGCCGGCGACGCAUCAUUCAAAUUUCUGCCCUAUUAACUUUCGUUGGUAGGAUAGUGGCCUACCAUGGUGAUGACGGGUGACGAAGAAUUAGGGUUCGAUUUCGAAGAGGGAGCCUGAGAAAUGACGACCACAUCUAAGGAAGGCUACAGGUGCGUAAAUUACCCAAUCAUAACAUGGGUAGGUAGAGAUAAUAAAUAACAAUACCAGGCUCAAUGAGUCUGGUAAUUGGAAAUAGUACAAUCUAAAUCCCUUAAAGAGUUUCCAUUGGAGGGUAAGUUUGGUGCCAACAACCGCGGUAAUUCCAGCUCCAAUAGCGUAUAUUUAAGUUGUUGCAGUUAAAAAGCUCAUAGUUGGAAUUUGGGAUGGGCCGGCUGGUCCGCCUAUGGUGUCCACCGAUCGUCUCAUCCCUUCUGUCGGCGAUGCACUCCUGGCCUUAACUGGCCGGGUCGUGCCUCCGGCGCUAUUACUUUGACGAAUUUAGAGUGCUUAAAGCAAGCCUACGCUCUGUAUACAUUAGCAUGGGAUAACAUUAUAGGAUUUCGGUCCUAUUACGUUGGCCUUCGGGAUCGGAUUAAUGAUUAACAGGGACAGUUGGGGGCAUUCAUAUUUCAUAGUCAGAGGUGAAAUUCUUGGAUUUAUGAAAGACGAACAACUGCGAAAGCAUUUGCCAAGGAUAUUUUAAUUAAUCAAGAACGAAAGCUGGGGGUUCGAAGGUGAUCAGAUACCGUCCAAGUCUCAACCAUAAACGAUUCCAACUAGGGAUCAGCGGAUAUUGCUUUUAGACAUACCUAGGAAUAGGCGGCGCAUAGUGUAUAGCACACUAGACCCGAGACCUUAGGCUAUAGGAUAGGUCGUGCAUCGUUCGUGGCCUAGUUUUAUCAAGGCCUAGCCUUCCUCGAAGCCUAUUUUGACGAGGAAAAGGCUCAAUCCAUAGCCUUAUGCAUCACCAUUCCUAACUUACCAACUUUACCAUACAAUGCGUCCAAAUCGGCAAUUGAAAUCGAUCUCCUCGUUGAAUACUUCUUGCACCUAUUUUUGCUCAAAACCAAACGAAAACGAUUAGUACGAUGGGUUGACUCCCACCAAUCGCCUUAGUUUUGGUCGUGGCACGACUCUUAUUUUUGGAUUUUUCAUUUAGCAAACCAAGUACUAGAAUGAAAGGAAAAACGAUAAACGAUAAAUGAUAAAACGAUAAAACGAUGGGUUGCCUCCCAUCUAGCGCCUUAUUUAUUGUCGUGGCUAAACGUAGUAAUAUCGAGUACUUAGACUUCGUCGAGAUAAGUGAUGGACAUGUCAUUCAUCGAGUCUAGAGGACCGAUAUAUGGCUUAACGCGUUGGCCAUUCACUUUGAAGACAACACCCUUAUUGCCUUCCAAUUCGACUACUCCAGAUGAGUAGACUCAGAUAACCUUAAAUGGACCAGACCAUUUCGAUUUUAACUUACCUGGGAAGAGCUUAAAUCUGGAGUUGAAGAGUAGU
rnacentral:rRNA from 1 species